rnacentral:rRNA from 1 species
UACGAGGGGUGCUAGCGUUGUUCGGAAUCACUGGGCGUAAAGCGCGCGUAGGCGGCUUUUCAAGUCAGAGGUGAAAUCCUGAGGCUCAACCUCAGAAUUGCCUUUGAAACUGUAAAGCUUGAGUAUUGGAGGGGAUAGCGGAAUUCCUAAUGUAGAGGUGAAAUUCGUAGAUAUUAGGAGGAACACCGGUGGCGAAGGCGGCUAUCUGGACAAUAACUGACGCUGAGGCGCGAAAGCGUGGGGAGCGAACAGG